rnacentral:rRNA from 1 species
CGGGAAUUUUGGGCAAUGGGCGAAAGCCUGACCCAGCAACGCCGCGUGAGGGAUGAAGUAUUUCGGUAUGUAACCCUCGAAAGAAUGGGAAGAAUAAAUGACGGUACCAUUUAUAAGCUCCGGCUAACUACGUGCCAGCAGCCGCGGUAAUACGUAGGGAGCAAGCGUUGUUCGGAUUUACUGGGCGUAAAGGGCGCGUAGGCGGCGCGGUAAGUCACUUGUGAAAUCUCUGAGCUUAACUCAGAACGGCCAAGUGAUACUGCUGUGCUAGAGUGCGGAAGAGGCAACCAGAAUUCGUGGUGUAGCUGUGAAAUGCGUAGAUAUCAAGAGGAACACCUGAGGCGAAGGCGGGUUGCUGGGCCGACACUGACGCUGAUGCGCGAAAGCCAGGGGAGCAA